rnacentral:rRNA from 1 species
UACAGAGGGUGCGAGCGCUAAUCGGAAUUACUGGGCGUAAAGCGCACGUAGGUGGCGACGUAAGUCGGGUGUGAAAGCCCCGGGCUCAACCUGGGAAUUGCAUUCGAGACUGCAUUGCUGGAGUACGGAAGAGGAAGGCGGAAUUCCCGGUGUAGCGGUGAAAUGCGUAGAUAUCGGGAGGAACAUCAGUGGCGAAGGCGGCCUUCUGGUCCAGUACUGACACUCAAGUGCGAAAGCGUGGGGAGCAAACAGG